rnacentral:rRNA from 1 species
UACGUAGGGGGCUAGCGUUGUCCGGAAUCAUUGGGCGUAAAGCGCGUGUAGGCGGUCCGGUAAGUCCGCUGUGAAAGUCGGGGGCUCAACCCUCGGAUGCCGGUGGAUACUGUCGGGCUUGAGUACGGAAGAGGCGAGUGGAAUUCCUGGUGUAGCGGUGGAAUGCGCAGAUAUCAGGAGGAACACCCAUAGCGAAGGCAGCUUGCUGGGACGUUACUGACGCUAAGGCGCGAAAGCGUGGGGAGCGAACAGG